UUACUACCACCCUAAACGAAGCCCCUCUUCCUUCUCCAACUGCCUCUAGUUACCCUAUGUCGAUUAGGGGUUUACCUUCUUCAAACUUUGCCUUCCUUUCUGACCAGAUGAAAGCUGAUGAUGUCCUUGCUAAUGUUCCAGUGGAGAUCUUUUCUGUUUCCAGCUACCUACAAGCAAAACCAGCAACGAAUUAAGUCUGUCAGAGUGAAUGAUGGGAAAAAGCUCAGGACCACAACCCAAUGGUGAGUAAAUUUAGCAUUGAGAGGCCCAAAAGUUCGGAAAAUUUGUGGCUUUGUCCUGGAGCUUGAAGGCCUGAAAUAGGAGAUUCUUCAAAAUGUAAAGCCAUAUCCAACACCAGAUGCAAAGGCUAUCUCCAUCAACUUCCCUGCUGCUGUGAAUCUGGAGGUUGCCACUUGGAAUCUCCCUUGCCAAUGUUCUGCUAUCAUUCAGUGUUUGGCUGGUAUCUGUUGUCUGAAUCUAAACUUUAAUGGCUCGU
rnacentral:lncRNA from 1 species